rnacentral:rRNA from 1 species
UACGUAGGGAGCAAGCGUUGUCCGGAAUCAUUGGGCGUAAAGAGCGUGUAGGCGGUUCGGUAAGUCCGCUGUGAAAGUCCAGGGCUCAACCCUGGAAUGCCGGUGGAUACUGUCGGGCUAGAGUCCGGAAGAGGCGAGUGGAAUUCCUGGUGUAGCGGUGAAAUGCGUAGAGAUCCGGAGGAACACCAGUGGCGAAGGCGACACGCUGGGCCGUACCUGACACUGAUGCGCGACAGCAUGGGGAGCAAACAGG